rnacentral:rRNA from 1 species
AUUGGCGUAUAUUAAAGUUGUUGCGGUUAAAAAGCUCGUAGUUGGAUCUGUGUAUCGGACGGUCGGUUCGCCGCUCGCGGCGUUUAACUGACCGUUUCCGGACGUCCUGCCGGUGGUCGUGGGUCCGCGAGGGCCUUCGGCCGUGACCUCCCUCCGGGCUUCUCUUAACCGGGUGGCCCGGUGGGCCGGCACGUUUACUUUGAACAAAUUUGAGUGCUCAAAGCAGGCCUAUAGACGCCUGAAAACUGUGUGCAUGGAAUAAUGGAAUAGGACCUCUUUUCUAUUUUGUUGGCUUUUCUGAAACAGAGGUAAUGAUUAAUAGGGACAGACGGGGGCAUUCGUAUUGCGACGUUAGAGGUGAAAUUCUUGGAUCGUCGCAAGACGGACGGAUGCGAAAGCGUUUGCCAAGAAUGUUUUCGCUAAUCAAGAACGAAAGUUAGAGGUUCGAAGGCGAUCAGAUACCGCCCUAGUUCUAACCAUAAACGAUGCCAGCCAGCGAUGCGCCGAAGUUCCUCCGAUGACUCGGCGCGCAGCUUCCGGGAAACCAAAGCUUUUGGGUUCC